UAAGUGCCCCGCCUGGGGAGUACGGCCGCAAGGCUAAAACUCAAAGGAAUUGACGGGGGCCCGCACAAGCGGCGGAGCAUGCGGAUUAAUUCGAUGCAACGCGAAGAACCUUACCAAGGCUUGACAUGUUCUCGAUCGCCGUAGAGAUACGGUUUCCCCUUUGGGGCGGGUUCACAGGUGGUGCAUGGUUGUCGUCAGCUCGUGUCGUGAGAUGUUGGGUUAAGUCCCGCAACGAGCGCAACCCUCGUUCCAUGUUGCCAGCACGUAAUGGUGGGGACUCAUGGGAGACUGCCGGGGUCAACUCGGAGGAAGGUGAGGACGACGUCAAAUCAUCAUGCCCCUUAUGUCUUGGGCUUCACGCAUGCUACAAUGGCCGGUACAAUGGGUUGCGAUACUGUGAGGUGGAGCUAAUCCCAAAAAGCCGGUCUCAGUUCGGAUUGGGGUCUGCAACUCGACCCCAUGAAGUCGGAGUCGCUAGUAAUCGCAGAUCAGCAACG
rnacentral:rRNA from 1 species